rnacentral:rRNA from 1 species
AGAGUUUGAUCCUGGCUCAGGACGAACGCUGGCGGCGUGCCUAACACAUGCAAGUCGAGCGGAGUUACCUUUAACACUGAGCACUCUUAAACAUGAUGCGAUCAGCGUCAUGCAGAAACGACCAUAAUGGUCUUUGAAAUUGAAGUUUCUGCAUCACGCGUUUCAUCAAGUGCCAACACAAAGAGUGAUGUGAGAACAAGAAUGUUCAGUGUUGAAGGUAACUUAGCGGCGGACGGGUGAGUAACGCGUGGGCAACCUGCCUUUCACAGGGGGAUAACACAGGGAAACUUGUGCUAAUACCGCAUAACAUAGCGAAACAGCAUUGUUUUGUUAUCAAAGGAGCAAUCCGGUGAAAGAUGGGCCCGCGUCCAAUUAGCUAGUUGGUGAUGUAACGGACCACCAAGGCGACGAUUGGUAGCCGAACUGAGAGGUUGAUCGGCCACAUUGGGACUGAGACACGGCCCAGACUCCUACGGGAGGCAGCAGUGGGGAAUAUUGCACAAUGGGGGAAACCCUGAUGCAGCAACGCCGCGUGAAGGAUGAAGGUUUUCGGAUUGUAAACUUCUUUAGUCAGGGACGAAAAAAAUGACGGUACCUGAAGAAUAAGCCACGGCUAACUACGUGCCAGCAGCCGCGGUAAUACGUAGGUGGCGAGCGUUGUCCGGAAUUACUGGGUGUAAAGGGCGUGUAGGCGGGAAUGUAAGUCAGAUGUGAAAUCCCAGGGCUUAACUCUGGAGCUGCAUCUGAAACUAUGUUUCUUGAGUGCCGGAGAGGAUAGCGGAAUUCCUAGUGUAGCGGUG